rnacentral:ncRNA from 1 species
CCGGAAGAGCACCGCACGUCGCGCGGUGUCCGGUGCGCCCCCGGCGGCCCAUGAAAAUCCGGAGGACCGAGUACCGUUCACGCCCGGUCGUACCACUAACCGCAUCAGGUCUCCAAGGUGAACAGCCUCUGGCCAAUGGAACAAUGUAGGCAAGGGAAGUCGGCAAAACGGAUCCGUAACUUCGGGAAAAGGAUUGGCUCUGAGGACUGGGCUCGGGGGUCCCGGCCCCGAACCCGUCGGCCG